rnacentral:tRNA from 1 species
GGGAAUGUGGCUUAGUGGUAAUGUGCAUGCCUAGCAUGCAUGAAGCCCUGGGUUUGAUUCCUCAGUACCA